rnacentral:misc_RNA from 1 species
GAUGAGAACGUAGUGAAAUGCGAUACUUGGUGUGAAUUGCAGAAUCCCGUGAACCAUCGAGUCUUUGAACGCAAGUUGCGCCCGAAGCCAUUAGGCCGAGGGCACGCCUGCCUGGGUGUCACACACCGUUACCCUCGCGCCAACGUCCAUCGUUGGCCGCGGCGCGGGGCGUGCGCUGACCUCCCGCGAGCGGGGUCUCGUGGUUGGUUGAAAAUCGAGUUCGCGGUCGAGGGUGCCGUGAUGAAAUGGUGGAUGGGCGACGCCCGAGGCCAAUCACGCGCGACUCUGUCCGGCUCGGACUCCUGGACCCCUUCGGCGUCUCCGGACGCUCUUUGGCGAGACCUCAGGUCAGGCGGGGCUACCUGCUGAGUUUAAGCAUAUCAAUAAGCGGAGGA